rnacentral:rRNA from 1 species
UCAAGCUACUAAGGGCAUACGGCGGAUGCCUAGGCGCCAUCAGCCGAUGAAGGACGCGGUAAGCUGCGAAAAGCUACGGGGAACUGCAAGCAAGUAUUGAUCCGUAGAUGUCCGAAUGGGGAAACCCACCUGCCGUCAUGGGCAGGUAUCCGAAAGGAAGGGAACCCGGGGAACUGAAACAUCUAAGUACCCGGAGGAAGAGAAAUCAAACGAGAUGCCCACAGUAGCGGCGAGCGAAGAGGGCAGAGGGCAAACCGGUGAGCUACGGCUCGCCGGGGUUGAGGACUGCAUUUAGUCUCAAUGGGCUAUCCGAACUACCUGGAAAGGUAGGCAAAACAGUGUAAAAGCCACGUAGGUUAAAGACCGGAGAGAUGAGCAGUAUCCAGAGUACCACGAGGCACGAGGAAUCUUGUGGGAAGCCGGGGGGACCACCCUCCAACCCUAAACACUGAAUGGCGACCGAUAGCGCAUAGUACCGUGAGGGAAAGGUGAAAAGAACCCCGGGAGGGGAGUGAAAGAGAACCUGAAACCGUAUGUCUACAAGCAGUCGGAGCGAAAGCGACGGCGUGCCUAUUGAAGAAUGAACCAACGAGUUACGUGCACUAGCGAGGUUAAGUGGAAGACACGGAGCCGAAGCGAAAGCGAGUCUUAAGAGGGCGGAUAGUUAGUGUACGUAGACCCGAAACCGCAGUGAUCUACCCAUGUCCAGGUUGAAGCGCAGGUAAAAUUGCGUGGAGGACCGAACCUGUGAGCGUUGAAAAGCUUUAGGAUGAGAUGUGGGUAGAGGUGAAAUUCCAAUCGAACGCGGAGAUAGCUGGUUCUCCCCGAAAUAGCUUUAGGGCUAGCCUCAAGUAGUAAGUAUAGGCGGUAGAGCACUGAUCGGGCUAGGGGCCAUAAAGGUUACCGAACCCUGUCAAACUCCGAAUGGUUAUACUGUAGAGCUUGGGAGUCAGACUACGAGUGAUAAGAUCCGUGGUCAAAAGGGAAAAAGCCCAGACCACCAGCUAAGGUCCCCAAUGUCGUACUAAGUGGAAAAGGAUGUGGGGUCUCUAAAACAACCAGGAUGUUGGCUUAGAAGCAGCCACCAUUUAAAGAGUGCGUAAUAGCUCACUGGUCGAGAGACCCUGCGCCGAAGAUUACCGGGGCUAAAGUACGAAACCGAAGCUGUGGCUACGACAUAUGUCGUGGGGUAGGGGAGCGUUCUGUGAGGGCUGAAGUCGUUCUGUAAGGAACGGUGGACUUCACAGAAGUGAGAAUGUUGGUAUGAGUAGCGAAAAGAAUGGUGAGAAUCCAUUCCACCGAAAGCAUAAGGAUUCCUGGGCAACGAUCGUCGUCCCAGGGUAAGUCGGGACCUAAUCCGAGGCAUGGAGCGUAGGAGAUGGACAACUGGCAGAUAUUCCAGUACCGGUAAUGAUUGUUUGAGCGAUGGAGUGACACAGGAGGGCAGGCAGGCAGGAGAUUGGUUGUUCCUGUACAAGCGUGUAGGAUGGGACGCAGGCAAAUCCGCGUCCUGUGAGUCUGAGGCGUGAUGUGGAGGUUCCGGAAACGGAACUGAAGCUGCUGACCCCACACUGUCGAGAAAAGCUUCUAGUUAGAGAAUUACCGCCCGUACCGUAAACCGACACAGGUAUGCGGGGAGAGAAUCCUAAGGUGCGCGGGAGAACCCUCGUUAAGGAACUCGGCAAAAUGACUCCGUAACUUCGGGAUAAGGGUAGCCGCUGUUGUGAAGUCUGAACAGACGGAGCAUGAGGCGGUCGCAGAGAAGAGGCCCAAGCGACUGUUUACCACAAACACAGGUGCCUGCUAAAGAGAAAUCUGACGUAUAGGUGCUGACACCUGCCCAGUGCCGGAAGGUUAAGGAAGGAUGUCCGGAGCAAUCCAAAGCAUUCGACCGAAGCCCCGGUGAACGGCGGCCGUAACUAUAACGGUCCUAAGGUAGCGAAAUUCCUUGUCGGGUAAGUUCCGACCCGCACGAAAGGUGUAACGAUUUGGGCACUGUCUCAACGAGGGACCCGGUGAAAUUGAAGUACCUGUGAAGAUGCAGGUUACCCGCGACUGGACAGAAAGACCCCAUGGAGCUUUACUGUAACCUGACAUUGGGUUCUGAUACAUCACGUACAGGAUAGGUGGGAGGCAUGGAAGCGAGGACGCUAGUCUUCGUGGAGCCGCUGUUGGGAUACCACCCUUGAUGUAUCGGAAUUCUAACCGUAGUAGUAACGAAACUCGGGACAGUGUCAGGCGGGCAGUUUGACUGGGGCGGUCGCCUCCCAAAGAGUAACG